rnacentral:rRNA from 1 species
UACGUAGGGAGCUAGCGUUGUCCGGAAUCAUUGGGCGUAAAGCGCGCGUAGGCGGCCCGGUAAGUCCGCUGUGAAAGUCAAAGGCUCAACCUUUGAAUGUCAGCGGAUACUGCCGGGCUAGAGUCCGGAAGAGGCGAGUGGAACUCCUGGUGUAGCGGUGGAAUGCGCAGAUAUCAGGAAGAACACCAACGGCGAAGGCAGCUCUCUGGGACGGUACUGACGCUGAGACGCGAAAGCGUGGGGAGCGAACAGG